rnacentral:rRNA from 1 species
GGGGGGGGGUGGGGGGGGGGGUAGGGGAGGGGGGUCGGAGGGAGGGGCGGUGCUUGUGGGGGGUGCUCGCGUGGCGAACGGGGGAGUCAGACGGGAGUAACCUGCCCUGUGCUUUGGGGUAACUUCAGGAAACUGGGGCUAAUCCCGGCUAGGCGCUCCUGCUGCCUGGUGGGGGUUGGAAAGUUUCGGCGGUUGGGGAUGGACUCGCGGCUUAUCAGCUUGUUGGUGGGGUAGUGGCUUACCAAGGCUUUGACGGGUAGCCGGCCUGAGAGGGUGACCGGCCACAUUGGGACUGAGAUACGGCCCAGACUCCUACGGGAGGCAGCAGUGGGGAAUAUUGCACAAUGGGCGGAAGCCUGAUGCAGCAACGCCGCGUGCGGGAUGACGGCCUUCGGGUUGUAAACCGCUUUCGCCUGUGACGAAGCGUGAGUGACGGUAAUGGGUAAAGAAGCACCGGCUAACUACGUG